rnacentral:rRNA from 1 species
AGGACGAUCAGCCACACUGGGACUGAGACACGGCCCAGACUCCUACGGGAGGCAGCAGUAAGGAAUAUUCCACAAUGGGCGAAAGCCUGAUGGAGCGACGCCGCGUGAGGGAUGAAGCUUUUCGGAGUGUAAACCUCUUUUCUUUGGGAUGACACCCCGGGUGACCGGGUACGACAGUACCAGAGGAAUAAGCAUCGGCUAACUACGUGCCAGCAGCCGCGGUAAUACGUAGGAUGCAAGCGUUGUCCGGAUUUACUGGGCGUAAAGCGCGCGCAGGUGGCAUGGCAAGUAAGGUGUGAAAUCUCCCUGCUCAACGGGGAGGGAGCGCUUUAGACUGCCAAGCUAGAGGACGGUAGAGGGGGGUGGAAUUGCUGGUGUAGCGGUGAAAUGCGUAGAGAUCAGCAGGAACA